GCCCGAGAAGACAGCCCAGUCGCCGAGGAGCCGACAGUUGCCACCCGCCGCCGUACCGGAGCAAUUUUCGACCGCCAAAUAAGGUAAAAAUUCUACCCUUUACUCAAAUUUUGAUUCUAAACCCACCUAUGGCCAAAUCGGAGCGAAAGCACCGGCCAAUUGGCCGAAAAAUGCUGCCGAAGCUCAGCAGCGACGCCGCGGGAUGUCUCAGUUUUUGUCUCCGAUGAGGCCCUUCCCGAUUCCCGUUCGAUGUGAUUUUUUCACCGUUGUGAUCACCGUUUCCUCCUCUAUAGGUUGACCGGAGCAAAACACCCAACCGCGACGUGAGCCAGAGGAGCUGCCGCACCGGAGAGCCCCUCCGCCGGUAAGUUU
rnacentral:lncRNA from 1 species